AAAGAGAGUUGAAAGACUCCCUAAACCCAUGUGAACCUACCUGAAAGUUUGCUUCGGCAGGCGGCCCCAGGGCGGGGCCUUCAGCCUGUAAUCAGGUGCCUGCCGGAGGUUUUUUCAAACUCUUGUUUUUACCGAUGUUGUUCUGAGUAUACAAGCAAAAAAAUCA
rnacentral:misc_RNA from 1 species